rnacentral:lncRNA from 1 species
AUGUGCCAGUUUGAGGAGAGCGUGGAGCAGCAGCGGCUGUUGCUGGCUCUGCUUCUUCAGCGCAUAUCGGGCAUCUGGGUGGUCCCCGAAGGCGCCCAGGCUGCCGAAAUGGUGCCUGCGCUUCAGGAGAUUGGGUCCAUGCAGGAACGAUGCGACAGGCUUCUUCAGAAAGCUCAAAGCAGUAAGGACCUGAUACAGACUGAAAUCCAGGAAAGACUUUCCUUCACAAAAGAAAUCAUUGCUUUGAAAAAUUCAUUUCAAAAGAGCACAACUUCUUUCCAAAAUAUGGCCCCAGAGGGCCACCCAGAAAGGGCAGAGCAGUUCGAGGAGCUUCAAAGCUUUGUUGAGAAAGGGAAGCUAACUUUUGGAAAUAUUAUGGAAAAACUGCGAAUCAAGUAUUCUGAGAUGUACACCAUAGUCCCCACUGAGGUUGAAUCCCAGGUGGAAGAAUGCAGAAAAAUGUUAGAAGACAUAGAUGAGAAGAUGUGCAGUGAAGCCUUGAAGAACUCCCCAUCCUGUGUGAUGAGCAGGAAAAGAGAGGAAAUUAACAGUGGGCUUCAGCAGGUUGAAAAAAUGUUGCAGCAGAAAACCAAAAACAUUGAGAAAGCCCAAGAAAUUCAAAAGAAAAUGUGGGAUGAGCUAGAUCUCUGGCAUUCCAAGCUGAAUGAGCUGGAUUCUGAAGUUCAGGACCUCGUUGAACAGGACCCAGGACAGGCUCAAGAAUGGAUGGACAGCCUGAUGAUCCCUUUCCAGCGGUAUCAGCAAGUGUCCCAAAGAGCAGAAUCCAGAACCUCCCAGUUAAAUAAGGCCACAGUUAAGAUGGAGGAGUACAGUGAUCUUCUGAAGAGCACCAAGGCUUGGAUAGAAAACACCAGUUGCUUGCUGGCCAAUCCCGCUCACUGUGACUCAUCUAAGACCCUGAGUCACCAUGCCAGCACCCUGCAGGUGAGUGUGUGCUGAGGUCCCCUGCGCCUGAUAGGACCUGCUCACUGAUUAGCUGAUUGUCAUCAUCUUUUUCUCCUCUUACCCCUACAACAGUGUUACUGCUAAUCAUGCCAAGAAGCAGAGGGAAGCUUGGGACAGUGGCAGGCACUAGAUAGGAAUCUUGGAGACCAAAUCUGGUUCUUUUUGUCCUACUGACUACUUACUUUUUAUGAUGAUUCAGCCUAUUUCUUUGUGGGCCUCAGUUUCCUCAUCUGUGAAGUGAGAAGGCUGCACUGGAUGGCUUUGAUGGUUUGGAGCCACGGAAGUCUACUGUGACCCCCAGUAUUCUCAUUCCUUGGUGUAUAUGACCUGUAUAAUUGCCUUUCUUAGAGUACAGGCAGGAAUAGAAGUAUGUCAUUGAUUAGGUUAUAUUACCUGGCUUUGUGGCAAUGGGAUAUGGAUUCUCAAGAAAGCACAAUCACUUAAUUACAGGAUUCCCUAGCAGCAAAUCAUAGGUUCUCCUGGACGGAAAGGGCUAAGCUGCCAUACUGUGAGAGGGCCAUGGGGUUAGCACUCAAAAGCAACUUCUAGAUGCUGAGAGCAGCCCCUCACCGCUAGCCAACAAGAAAAUAGGGAUCUCAAUUCCCAGAGCUAAAUUUAACGGACAACCAAAGUGAACUUGGAAGGGAACCUGGAGCUCUAGAUGGCUUCAUGGUUGCAGUCUGGUGGCACCCUGAGCAGAAGACCCACCAAACUGGGCCUGAACUCCGACCCGCAGAACAUACCUGAUCACACUUUUUUAAAAGCAGCCAUAUUUGUGGCAGUUAGUUUAUGCAGGAGUAGAAAUCUAAUCUCCCAGUUCCUUCCAGUUUUGACAUGCCGAGAUUCUAAAUCCCGUGUCCCUCCUGGGGCUCCACAGGGGCUUACAGAGCUCCAUGCCAGCUUACAGAGCCAGAACAGAUGGAAGUAUUUUCCUGCAUGGGGCCAUGACUUCUGGGAUGGUCCAGAGUGAGUGUGGACUGCAGUUUGAUUUUGAAGGUGUACUUUCCUUCUCUCAUGUGGUCAGCCAUGAGAAUGAGUCCCCUAGGAAAUGUUGUGUAACAGUAUUUACAGUAAUCACACCUCGAAGACUAUCCAAUCUCUUUUUGUAUCUUUAGAACAGCACAAUGUGUUCCUGAGUGAGCUGACUUCAGACUUCCUGAUGUUUGAGAAUUGGUGGCUCAUUUUUGUCCUGUGGUAAAAGUUGUCAAGAUACUGCAUUUUCACUCAUCUUCUUAUCUUACUCUUGCUUGUGACCCCCCUCCCCCAUACCUUAGGUUGACUCUACACAUCCCCAGGACUUGUCAUCUUUGUAUUUUUAAAUGCUUUUAUGAUUCACCAUUUUUGAAGAAUUUUCCAGGACCAGAGAAAGGAAUGAUGAUUUUUUUCCCCCUCAACUGCUUUUUUUUUUGGUACCUGGGAUUGAACUCAGGACCUUGCGGCACCACUGAGCUAAAUCCCCAGCCCCUUCAAAUGCUUUUGAUGCAUUAAAAAUUUAAAAACUACUAAUGUAAACUCAGGUAAAAGCAGCUAGACUUUUACUGCUUUCUAAUGAGGAAAUGUUUAAGUGUGAAAGCCUCGCUGUAGCUGUUGACUUGCUAAGUGGCCAGACUUUAUUUAUGAGCUCGAGCUGAGCAGAGAUGCAGGUUUCUUUCCCAUGGAAUGGAUUCUAGUGAAACCCCAUUGGUGAGUAACUCCCACGGAGCCAGUCCUGUGAGAAAAUCCCGUUUUGUCCUUACAAUGAAAAUAAUUGUCUGACUCAUAGUUCUCCUUUCCAUUUGCUGGC